UACGGAGGAUGCAAGCGUUAUCCGGAAUGAUUGGGCGUAAAGCGUCCGCAGGUGGUUAUGCAAGUCUACUGUUAAAGAGUGAAGCUUAACUUCAUAAAGGCCGUGGAAACUGCAUGACUAGAGUGCGUUCGGGGCAGAGGGAAUUCCUGGUGUAGCGGUGAAAUGCGUAGAUAUCAGGAAGAACACCGGUGGCGAAGGCGCUCUGCUAGGCCGUAACUGACACUGAGGGACGAAAGCUAAGGGAGCGAAUGGG
rnacentral:rRNA from 1 species